rnacentral:rRNA from 1 species
GACGAACGCUGGCGGCGUGCUUAACACAUGCAAGUCGAACGGUGACGAGGAGCUUGCUCCUCUGAUCAGUGGCGAACGGGUGAGUAACACGUGAGCAACCUGCCCCAGACUCUGGGAUAACAGUUGGAAACAGCUGCUAAUACCGGAUACGAGACGGAGAGGCAUCUCUACCGUCUGGAAAGUUUUUCGGUCUGGGAUGGACUCGCGGCCUAUCAGCUAGUUGGUGAGGUAAUGGCUCACCAAGGCGACGACGGGUAGCCGGCCUGAGAGGGCGACCGGCCACACUGGGACUGAGACACGGCCCAGACUCCUACGGGAGGCAGCAGUGGGGAAUAUUGCACAAUGGGCGAAAGCCUGAUGCAGCGACGCCGCGUGAGGGAUGAAGGCCUUCGGGUGUAAACCGUCUUUCAGCAGGGAAGAAGCGAAAGUGACGGUACCGUGCAGAAGAAGACACCGGCUAACUACGUAGCCAGCAGCCGC